rnacentral:rRNA from 1 species
GAUCCAGACUUUGAUCCUGGCUCAGGAUGAACUUUAGCUACAGGCUUAACACAUGCAAGUCGAGGGGAAACGAUAGAGAAAGCUUGCUUUUUCUAGGCGUCGACCGGCGCACGGGUGAGUAACGCGUAUCCAACCUGCCCAUCACUUGGGGAUAACCUUGCGAAAGUAAGACUAAUACCCAAUGACGUCUCUAGAAGACAUCUGAAAGAGAUUAAAGAUUUAUCGGUGAUGGAUGGGGAUGCGUCUGAUUAGCUUGUUGGCGGGGUAACGGCCCACCAAGGCGACGAUCAGUAGGGGUUCUGAGAGGAAGGUCCCCCACAUUGGAACUGAGACACGGUCCAAACUCCUACGGGAGGCAGCAGUGAGGAAUAUUGGUCAAUGGACGAGAGUCUGAACCAGCCAAGUAGCGUGCAGGAAGACGGCCCUAUGGGUUGUAAACUGCUUUUAUAAGGGAAUAAAGUGAGUCUCGUGAGACUUUUUGCAUGUACCUUAUGAAUAAGGACCGGCUAAUUCCGUGCCAGCAGCCGCGGUAAUACGGAAGGUCCGGGCGUUAUCCGGAUUUAUUGGGCUUAAAGGGAGCGUAGGCCGGAGAUUAAGCGUGUUGUGAAAUGUAGACGCUCAACGUCUGCACUGCAGCGCGAACUGGUUUCCUUGAGUACGCACAAAGUGGGCGGAAUUCGUGGUGUAGCGGUGAAAUGCUUAGAUAUCACGAAGAACUCCGAUUGCGAAGGCAGCUCACUGGAGCGCAACUGACGCUGAAGCUCGAAAGUGCGGGUAUCGAACAGGAUUAGAUACCCUGGUAGUCCGCACGGUAAACGAUGGAUGCCCGCUGUUGGUCUGAAUAGGUCAGCGGCCAAGCGAAAGCAUUAAGCAUCCCACCUGGGGAGUACGCCGGCAACGGUGCAACUCAAAUGAAUUGAGGGA